rnacentral:rRNA from 1 species
UGAGUAACACGUAUCCAACCUGCCGUCUACUCUUGGCCAGCCUUCUGAAAGGAAGAUUAAUCCAGGAUGGCAUCAUGAGUUCACAUGUCCGCAUGAUUAAAGGUAUUUUCCGGUAGACGAUGGGGAUGCGUUCCAUUAGAUAGUAGGCGGGGUGACGGCCCACCUAGUCAACGAUGGAUAGGGGUUCUGAGAGGAAGGUCCCCCACAUUGGAACUGAGACACGGUCCAA